GAAUCAGUUGUGUGAACACUCAAGAGAUGAAGACUCUGAGGUCCCAGUAGACCACCAGCUGUCAGCAGUGGAAUAUGAUAGCAGAUUUGUUAAGCCAAAACAUCUUCAGUUAAAGCAGUUCUGCUUGACCUACC
rnacentral:lncRNA from 1 species